rnacentral:lncRNA from 1 species
GAUGUUGCUAUUGCUCCCCAAGGAUUCUUUCCUGGCCAUAGGAGGUGGUCUCACCAGUCUACAUAGUGUCACAGCUAAGGACAUCACUACUGAUUAUUGUGUGCCUCUCCUAUCACUGAUCACCACGUUCCAGAAGAUGGUCCCUACCGACCUCCUCAGCAAUUGCAGAAUUCCAUUAAUUUUCAUGAUCAUCAGGCCAUCCCCCCAUGCUUCCCCACACCGGAGGAAACUCCACUCCCCUCAUGAGUACCUCUCCUACUCAGUUCCCUCCCUCUCUUCAUUUGCUUUUCAUAACCAUUACAUUCCUCCUUUCAAGUGAGACUCAAGAAUUCUUGCUUGUGCCCCUUUUAUCUGUCCAGACUACUUGAGUCUGUGGCAUGUAGCACAGACAUUCUCUUUUUUAUGACUAAUGUUCACUUACAAGUUAAAACAUACCACAAAUGCCUUUUUGGGACUUGGACACCUCACUCAGGAUGAUAUUCUCAAGUUCCAUCCAUUUGCCUGCAAUAUGGGUGUCUUUGUAUUUCACAGCUGACUACUAUUGCAUUGUGCAGAUAUACCACAGAUCUUGUAAAUUCUUCAAUUUAGAGACAUCUAAGAAGUUUCCAGUUUCUGGAUAUUAUGAAUAAAACUGUUAUGAACAUAAUUGAGCAA